GCCUGGCUAGCUCAAUCGGUAGAGCGUGUGACUCUUAAUCACAAGGUUGUGGGUUCGACCCCCACGUUGGGCG